GUCGUUCGCGUACACAGGGGCAACCCUCGCGCGAUGUCAGCAAUACCUAGGUCACCCUUGAAUAAACUACCCUUGUUGCUUUGGCGGGCCGCCCCUCGGGGCCAGCGGCUUCGGCUGCUGCGCGCCCGCCAGAGGACCACAACUCUUGUUUUUAGUGAUGUCUGAGUACUAUAUAAUAGUUAAAACUUUCAACAACGGAUCUCUUGGUUCUGGCAUCGAUGAAGAACGCAGCGAAAUGCGAUAAGUAAUGUGAAUUGCAGAAUUCAGUGAAUCAUCGAAUCUUUGAACGCACAUUGCGCCCUUUGGUAUUCCGAAGGGCAUGCCUGUUCGAGCGUCAUUAUAACCACUCAAGCCUUCGCUUGGUAUUGGGGUUCGCGGCUGCGCGGCCCCUAAAAUCAGUGGCGGUGCCUGUCGGCUCUACGCGUAGUAAUACUCCUCGCGUCUGGGUUCCGGUAGGUUGCUUGCCAGCAACCCCUAAAUUUUUUACAGGUUGACCUCGGAUCAGGUAGGGAUACCCGCUGAACUUAAGCAUAUC
rnacentral:rRNA from 1 species